rnacentral:sRNA from 1 species
UGUUUGGGCCUUCAACUUCUGUUUUUUUUUUGUCAGGACUUACGACCCAAUACUUACAAGGGUGAUUUGUAGAUAUAGCACUUUUUCACUAAAUAAUUAACUAACUAACACCAUAAAUUUAAAAAUGUAGUAAAUAACCUUCAAGGGGUGUGAAAAGACAUCACUGUCCUGCUGUUACGUUUGGCAGCGAAGAAGGAGAAUGUUUAGUGUGAGCUGACGUGGCUUUAUUAUUGGUGUUGAGGUGAGAAAAGAAAUCAGGUGGUAGGAUAGAAGUUCCAUUUUCUCUUACUUUUUUCUUUACCCCUUCCCAAUUGUAAUUCAUAUUAUCUGAUCUUAAAAAAUUUAAUUCAAGUUCAUGAUAUAUCAAUUAAAAAGUUGUAUAGUUUUCUACAUAUAUCAUGACUUAAAUUUUUGAAAACAAACAU